UCUUAGUGGUCUUUUCCAACCUUGCUGAUUCUAUCAUACUUUUCCAGUGCUUGAAAACAUGACAACAUUGCAGAAAGACGACGCUGCAGUUUUUGCAGGCUGUCUUUCCUAGACACCUGGCCAGAAGAGCAAAGGUUUUACCAGAGGACAAUGCCAUGCACUUCUUCUGAAAUACUCUACGUGCGUUACCAGCAUCCAGCAAAUCUGCUUCAAAAUUUCUUUCAGGAAUGAGAAUUUCAAGGUCAAAUAGCCUCAAGAAUUAGCAGGAUUCAGUAUUCCAAUAGCUGUUGUAUAUUUUCCAUCAGAGAGCUUCAUGUACAUCAAAAUAUUCUACAGGAACUUUUUAAUUUCAUUGGAAUUGUAAAU
ensembl:lncRNA